rnacentral:rRNA from 1 species
AAUUUUUGACAAUGGGCGCAAGCCUGAUGCAGCAACGCCCCGCGAGUGAUGAAGGCCUUCGGGUCGUAAAGCCCUUUGAUCAGGGGUGAUCAUGACAUUACCUGAAAAACAAGCCACGGCUACCUACGUGCCAGCAGCCGCGGUAAUACGUAGGUGGCGAGCGCUGUCCGGAAUUACUGGGCGUAAAGGAUGCGUAGGUGGAUACUUAAGUGGGAUGUGAAAUCCCCGGGCUCAACCCGGGAACUGCAUUCCAAGCUGGGUAUCUAGAGUGCAGGAGAGGAAAGAGGAAUUCCUAGUGUAGCGGUGAAAUGCGUAGAUAUUAGGCGGAACACCAGUGGCGAAGGCGGCUUUCUGGACUGUAACUGACGCUGAGGCAUGAAAGCGUGGGUAGCAAACAGG